AACAAAUAUACAGUUUUCCAAUUAUCUAAUUUUCCAAGAAUGAUUCCACCAAUUGCGACAUUGAAAUGAAUCAAUGUAAAACAAUUCAAGUUACAAAAAGUUGGAUGAUUUGACUGAGGACUGGUGAACCAGAUGGCUGCACUAAGAUCCAAUCUGAUCUGACAGAGUUUCUACAGCUGGAUGCCUUUCCUAAUACCAACAACUCCAAGAGUGUAGUGGGUGCUUUUACGUGCCACUGGCAUGAGGGCCAGUCAGGCGGUACUGGCAAUGGCCAUGCUCAAAUGGUGUUUUUUACGUGCCACCUGCACAGGAGCCAGUCCAGUGGCACUGGCAACGACCUAGCUUGAAUGCUUUUUACCUCGUUCAAAUGUUUUUUUUUAUGCACAUACAUAUGUUUGCAUGUGUGUGUGUGUACAAUAGCCUUCUUUCAGUUUCCCUCUACCAAAUCCACUCACAAAGUCUUGGUCAACCUAGUGCUAUAGUAGAAGACAUUUAUUCCAUAUGUUGCACAGCUAGACUGUGGUCAGGACCAUAUGAUUUCAAAGUGAACUCUUUAACUUAAACUAUGUCUCCUAAAAAUUUAUAUCUUGCAACGCUAUUUAUUAAAAUUGAGAUUAAAGGCAAAGUUUAUGCAUCUGAAGGGGUAUAUUGGUUAACUGUUUUUGAAAUAAUCAAUCAUCAUUGUUAGUUUUUUUCACAAUUAAAACCUGGAUACUCUAUGGGGAGACAUUAGUCUUUAUCAUACCAGCUUUCAAUAAAGGACUGGUUUUCAAAGAAGAAAAUGCUUAUCAAUAAAGUAUCAAUUCAUGCUCCUU